rnacentral:rRNA from 1 species
AUUGAACGCUGGCGGCAGGCCUAACACAUGCAAGUCGAGCGGAUGAGGGAGCUUUCUCCUGGAUUCAGCGGCGGACGGGUGAGUAAUGCCUAGGAAUCUGCCUGGUAGUGGGGGAUAACGUCCGGAAACGGGCGCUAAUACCGCAUACGUCCUGAGGGAGAAAGUGGGGGAUCUUCGGACCUCACGCUAUCAGAUGAGCCUAGGUCGGAUUAGCUAGUUGGUGGGGUAAAGGCCUACCAAGGCGACGAUCCGUAACUGGUCUGAGAGGAUGAUCAGUCACACUGGAACUGAGACACGGUCCAGACUCCUACGGGAGGCAGCAGUGGGGAAUAUUGGACAAUGGGCGAAAGCCUGAUCCAGCCAUGCCGCGUGUGUGAAGAAGGUCUUCGGAUUGUAAAGCACUUUAAGUUGGGAGGAAGGGCAGUAAGUUAAUACCUUGCUGUUUUGACGUUACCAACAGAAUAAGCACCGGCCAACUUCGUG